rnacentral:rRNA from 1 species
UACAGAGGUCUCAAGCGUUGUUCGGAUUCAUUGGGCGUAAAGGGUGCGUAGGUGGUGCUGUAAGUCAGGUGUGAAAUCCCGGGGCUCAACCCCGGAACUGCACUUGAUACUGUAGUGCUUGAGGACUGGAGAGGAGAUCGGAAUUCAUGGUGUAGCAGUGAAAUGCGUAGAUAUCGUAAGGAAGACCAGUGGCGAAGGCGGGUCUCUGGACAGUUCCUGACGCUGAGGCACGAAGGUCAGGGGAGCAAACGGG